AUUGAACGCUGGCGGCAGGCUUAACACAUGCAAGUCGAGCGGAGAUGAGGUGCUUGCACCUUAUCUUAGCGGCGGACGGGUGAGUAAUGCUUAGGAAUCUGCCUAUUAGUGGGGGACAACAUUCCGAAAGGAAUGCUAAUACCGCAUACGCCCUACGGGGGAAAGCAGGGGAUCUUCGGACCUUGCACUAAUAGAUGAGCCUAAGUCGGAUUAGCUAGUUGGUGGGGUAAAGGCCUACCAAGGCGACGAUCUGUAGCGGGUCUGAGAGGAUGAUCCGCCACACUGGGACUGAGACACGGCCCAGACUCCUACGGGAGGCAGCAGUGGGGAAUAUUGGACAAUGGGCGGAAGCCUGAUCCAGCCAUGCGGCGUGUGUGAAGAAGGCCUUUUGGUUGUAAAGCACUUUAAGCGAGGAGGAGGCUACCUGGAUUAAUACUCUAGGAUAGUGGACGUUACUCGCAGAAUAAGCACCGGCUAACUCUGUGCCAGCCGCCGCAGUAACAC
rnacentral:rRNA from 1 species